rnacentral:rRNA from 1 species
GACGAACGCUGGCGGCGUGCUUAACACAUGCAAGUCGAACGGAAAGGCCCUGCUUUUGUGGGGUGCUCGAGUGGCGAACGGGUGAGUAACACGUGAGUAACCUGCCCUUGACUUUGGGAUAACUUCAGGAAACUGGGGCUAAUACCGGAUAGGAGCUCCUGCUGCAUGGUGGGGGUUGGAAAGUUUCGGCGGUUGGGGAUGGACUCGCGGCUUAUCCGCUUGUUGGGGGGGUGGUGGCUUACCAAGGUCUUGACGGGUAGCCGGCCUGAGAGGGUGACCGGCCACAUUGGGACUGAGCUACGGCCCAGUCUCCUACGGGAGGCAGCAGUGGGGAAUAUUGCACAAUGGGCGGAAGCCUGAUGCAGCAACGCCGCGUGCGGGAUGACGGCCUUCGGGUUGUAAACCGCUUUCGCCUGUGACGAAGCGUGAGUGACGGUAAUGGGUAAAGAAGCACCGGCUAACUACGUGCCAGCCGCCGCCGUAA